UGCAGUUUCUGCAGUCUGCUCUACUGCUUUAUCUACCCUGGAUCCCCAGUCUCUCCCCAGGCUCCCUUCUGUGUUCUAGUGAUGGGAUGCUUCAAGUUGCUAGCAGUGCAGACCCAGCAGGCUAUGUGGGAUACAGAAGCUCUGGAGAAGCACAUCAGAGGAGCCCCAGCACACAUCAUGAGACUGCCUGCUCUAUUUCCUCUGGCAGACCUGGAAGAAGUACAGCCUGGGAUGAGCAUGACUGAACAGCAAAUAAGCAGAGUGUAUUUGUCUCUGUCUGGAACGUUUUGUGUGUAUGAGACAGUCCCACAUGUUUUUUCAGGACCACCCUGUCUUGUUUUGAAUGGUGUUCACAGAAACCUGAG
ensembl:lncRNA